CCCUAGCCCAGAUAGUAACGGCAUCCUUUUGCUGCCUUCUUUAGGCAGGAAAAGAUAGAGUGGAUAGCUGGAAAUAGC
rnacentral:sRNA from 1 species